rnacentral:rRNA from 1 species
GACGAACGCUGGCGGCGUGCUUAACACAUGCAAGUCGAACGGAAAGGCCCUGCUUUUGUGGGGUGCUCGAGUGGCGAACGGGUGAGUAACACGUGAGUAACCUGCCCUUGACUUUGGGAUAACUCCAGGAAACUGGGGCUAAUACCGGAUAGGAGCUCCUGCUGCAUGGUGGGGGUUGGAAAGUUUCGGCGGUUGGGGAUGGACUCGCGGCUUAUCAGCUUGUUGGUGGGGUAGUGGCUUACCAAGGCUUUGACGGGUAGCCGGCCUGAGAGGGUGACCGGCCACAUUGGGACUGAGAUACGGCCCAGACUCCUACGGGAGGCAGCAGUGGGGAAUAUUGCACACUGGGCGGAAGCCUGAUGCAGCAACGCCGCGUGCGGGAUGACGGCCUUCGGGUUGUAACCCGCUUUCGCCUGUGACGAAGCGUGAGUGACGGUAAUGGGUAAAGAAGCACCGGCUAACUACGUG